UCCUUGGUAGUCUAGUGGUUAAGACUCCAUCUUCUAAUGCAGGGGACACGGGUUCAAUCCCUGGUCAGGGAA
rfam:Ovis aries breed Texel chromosome 12, whole genome shotgun sequence.